rnacentral:lncRNA from 1 species
CUGUUUCAGAUCCACCGCAAACCCCCCGCCCCAGUGCUGCCCCCGGUCCCCUCACACUCUGGAAAGAUUUGCCGGAGCCACUCUGUCCUUUUCUUUAGUGCAGCUGCUGGCUGAUAAACCUGCUCCUGCUCUCUCUAAGGCAAGGCCAAGCACAGCUCCUUUCCCCUAGGGCAUGUGCCUUUGCACUGCCCGAGGCUGCUCCUUGGUCCCAAGUCCACAGUACUUUGCUUCUCAGGACAGUUUUCCAUUCUCAGUUGGUAUUUGAGAUGUUAAGAAUGGAAACGCUGAUUCCCCUCAGACCCGCUUUGCAGAUAACCCUGCAUUUUACCGAGAUGUCAAAGCAGGAAGUGCUUGGCUGGAACAUCUGCCGACAGCCUCAUCUCUUUCUGCAAGAUCAUGAUGUUCUGCAUGCUCCUGUGGCCUCUUAUUUCACGUUGCUCUCCCUGCAAAUUUUGAAACAACUUUAAAGAUGAAUAAAAAGCAGCUCAGCAAGUGAAUCCCAGAUCCCGGUAAGAGAGUGUCUCCCCCAACUCACAUAGUGAGUGCACAUCAUCCCCAGAACCACCAUGAGAGUGAGCCUGGUAGCGGGUAGCACCCUGCCUGUGACGAAGCCAGCACACUAUGACGAGCAGCAGCUUCUAGACCCAUGGACCACGGGCACUGCCAACGCUCUCCCUCCGGGGACUCCUCCUGCCUCCCAUACAGGGCCAAACUCCGACGCCCACGAGCUCGCUCAGAAUUGGCUCAGGCUGCAAUCACUUCUCUUCUCCUACCUCCACACCAUUCCCUGAUGGUGGACAGCUUCUCCUUUGAGAACCACACCUGCCUUUUCAGACAAAAGGAGACACCACCCACCCUCCUGCUGAGGGCUGCUCCCCUGGGGCCUUCUCAGCACACCUCUCUCUCUCUAGGUCAAAAAACAAAUUUCACAUGCUGAAUUUUUACCUUUUUUAAAGUGACUCCGAAUUUUGGCACCAGCAAUUAAUUCAACACUUGAAUAAGAUUUGAAAACCUCACAACAAAUCACAAAUAUAUUAUGGGUCCUGUU